UAUCCCAGCCUAUGGCUGCACGUCCCCUGCGUGGUCUCAGAGGCUAAGCAGUGUCAGCCCUGGCUGGUGCUGGGAUGGGAGACCACCAGGGAGCUCCAGCUGCCAGCCAAGCUGUGAUAA
rnacentral:rRNA from 1 species